AAAAUUUUAAUAUUUUUUUUGGAAAAAAAAAACAUUUCCAUCAACAAGAAAGCACAACACAAAAGCAAAGAACCGUUUCUCUUUCCCUCUCUCUCCCUCGAGAAGGUCAAAACCACCACACCAAACACCAUCCAAUCCAAUCCAAUAUCUCGUCGGAGCUUGUCCAAUUUCUAUUUUUGGGACUGUACUCUUUGUGCUAUUACCGAUCGCAGUGGCGACACUUCCUGUUUCCCGGUAACUUCCCGGUCGCCGUUUGGCUGAACAUUGUUUUGAUAGUUUGAUUUAUUAUGAAGAAUAACAGCA
rnacentral:misc_RNA from 1 species